rnacentral:rRNA from 1 species
AUACGGAGGAUGCAAGCGUUAUCCGGAUUUAUUGGGUUUAAAGGGUGCGUAGGCGGAUGAUUAAGCGUGAGGUGAAAUGCCACUGCUCAACAGUGGAACUGCCUCGCGAACUGGUUGUCUUGAAUGCUCCUGCCGUGGGAGGAAUGUGUGGUGUAGCGGUGAAAUGCAUAGAGAUCACACAGAACACCGAUUGCGAAGGCAUCUCACGAAGGGGUGAUUGACGCUGAGGCACGAAAGCGUGGGGAUCAAACAGGAUUAGAUACCCUGGUAGUCCACGCAGUAAACGAUGAUAACUAACCGCUGGGUCGUAGUGAUUCAGUGGCCAAGCGAAAGCGAUAAGUUAUCCACCUGGGGAGUACGGCCGCAAGGUUGAAACUUAAAUGAAUUGACGGGG